GAAGUGAUGCAGCUCUGGGGUGGCCCACCAGUGCUCUCCAGAUGUCUGAGAAAACACUGAGAUAUUCUGGGAUUGCUACUGCAACUGCUUUUUCACAAAUACCACACAUGUUCAGAAUUAACCAUU